UACGGGGGGAGCAAGCGUUGCUCGGAAUCACUGGGCGUAAAGCGCACGUAGGCGGAUUGUUAAGUCAGGGGUGAAAUCCUGGAGCUCAACUCCAGAACUGCCUUUGAUACUGGCGAUCUCGAGUCCGGGAGAGGUGAGUGGAACUGCGAGUGUAGAGGUGAAAUUCGUAGAUAUUCGCAAGAACACCAGUGGCGAAGGCGGCUCACUGGCCCGGUACUGACGCUGAGGCACGAAAGCGUGGGGAGCAAACAGG
rnacentral:rRNA from 1 species